rnacentral:rRNA from 1 species
UACGAAGGGGGCUAGCGUUGCUCGGAAUCACUGGGCGUAAAGGGUGCGUAGGCGGGUCUUUAAGUCAGGGGUGAAAUCCUGGAGCUCAACUCCAGAACUGCCUUUGAUACUGAAGAUCUUGAGUUCGGGAGAGGUGAGUGGAACUGCGAGUGUAGAGGUGAAAUUCGUAGAUAUUCGCAAGAACACCAGUGGCGAAGGCGGCUCACUGGUCCGGUUCUGACGCUGAGGCGCGAAAGCGUGGGGAGCAAACAGG